GUAGGGUGCGAGCGUUGUCCGGAAUUAUUGGGCGUAAAGAGCUCGUAGGCGGUCUGUCGCGUCUGCUGUGAAAACCCGAGGCUCAACCUCGGGCCUGCAGUGGGUACGGGCAGACUAGAGUGCGGUAGGGGAGAAUGGAAUUCCUGGUGUAGCGGUGGAAUGCGCAGAUAUCAGGAGGAACACCGAUGGCGAAGGCAGUUCUCUGGGCCGUAACUGACGCUGAGGAGCGAAAGCGUGGGGGAGCGAACAGGAUUAGAUACCCUGGUAGUCCACGCCGUAAACGUUGGGCGCUAGAUGUGGGGAUCAUUCCCCACGGUUUCCGUGUCGCAGCUAACGCAUUAAGCGCCCCCGCCUGGGAGUACGGCCGCAAGGCUA
rnacentral:rRNA from 1 species